AUGGAGGAUCAUAGCUCCUUGGAGGGGAAGCCGAUGCACGCUCGGACCGAGGUGGAGAGCAGGAGCGACGGGGGGGAGAGUGGCGAUCCCGGUCGCGCCCGCGGCCGUGCCACUCCUCGGGAGACCGCUCCCAGGCACGAGAGGGGAGCCAAUCGGCACCGUCGGUCGCGGACUACCCCUUGUUGCGGAGGAGGUCGUCGCGGAGUUUGGCUUCCCGCUGGGAGCCCUCCGGCGAGGAGCGGCGAGCCUCUGGAGGAGGCGGCGGAUCUCGAGCCCCAGCACAGCGCUUCGGACGGGGAGCACCAUCCCCUGUCUCUCGGACCAUGGCGGGCGGCGCCGCGAGGGAGGGGGGUGGCGCAGGGGAGGGGAGGUCGCGGGCGAGCGGCGCAGGAGGGAGUCGGGAGGAGGAGCCGGUCGCCAGCCCAGAUGCAAACUCUAAGAGGGCGGCGUCGGGCAGGCCGCCUGGGCCUGGUCCACGGCCCGCGGGGAGGGGGGAGGACGGCCUGGAGCGGGGUGGGACGGCAGCAAGGCACCGAGGCCCAUGUGAUUCCCCCAUCCCGGCCAGCCCAACAGCCCGGGACGGCCCAUCUCGUCCAGAAAGGAGGAGGGGAAGGAAUUAGGGUUCCCAGCGCACCCACCGCCGCCGCCGCCGAGCCGCUGGCCGGCGCCGCCGCGGAGGGGCGAAAAAACCAAAAAGCGGGACCCCGGGGCAUCACCACGGCCGUCGCCGGAGGCGUUCGCACCGGAACGCAUGGGCCAGGAGUCAACGCCGGCGAGGAGCGGCACCAAGACACCGCCGCGCGGCUGACGUCCGCCCUUCCGGCCACCACCCAAGCACGAGCUCGGGCCCCACCGCCGCAUCGGCCGGCCUGGCGGUGCGCAUCCGGCAAUGGUAGGGAAGAUGGUGCGCAGUGGGCAUGA
rnacentral:rRNA from 1 species